UACGGAGGGUGGCAAGCGUUAUCCGGAUUUACUGGGUUUAAAGGGUAGGCGUAGGCGGGCCGAAAAGUCAGCGGUGAAAUACUCUCGCUUAACGAGGGAACUGCCGUUGAUACUGUCGGUCUUGAAUAUAGUGGAGGUGGGCGGAAUGUUACAUGUAGCGGUGAAAUGCUUAGAUAUGUAACGGAACACCUAUUGCGAAGGCAGCUCGCUACACUAUUAUUGAACGCUGAGGCACGGAAAGCGUGGGGGAGCAAACAGG
rnacentral:rRNA from 1 species